ACUGUAUGAAAGAUGAUAACAAUAGUUACACAACUCAGAUGCAUGUAUAGCCCCAAGUUACACUAUUCAGUUGCCUCGGUAACUCAUAGUUACACAUUAAGUUGGAUGACACUGUAAAAGAACCCAAUCAACUGUUGAUAUCAGAGAAAGAUAUCCCUCAGGAAACCUUGGAGAAAGGGAAUACAAAAUCCUGAAUAUAUUGGAGUUUGAUAACAAAAGAAAGCUAAUUGUGCAAGAUGAGGAUAUGAAAAUUCUUCUUUUGUGAAA